GAAUUUUAGUCUGAUAAAGAAGCCCUAAGCUACAGAAUGAAGCUUUUAUUUACGUUAAUUUUAUGCAAGUUCUAAGUAACCAUUUUAAAUAAAAGUUCUAUAGGCUAACAAUUAAUUUAUAAUGCAGGCAUUUGGAUGCAGCUAGCGAGCAGCGUAACAUAUAAUGAUUGGAAGCUGGCGAUUCAAAUCGAUGCUAUGAUCAAAGCUGAAUUGGAAAAUAUCAAAGGGUUUGUCUACGGCAAUUCUGAAUACAAAGGUUGGCAUAGUUAUCUGAUUGAAGCACUUGCAAUGGGCCUCGAACACAAUCAAAAGAAGUUGGCGAAUCUGCAGUCAUACCAAAAGUAUAACUCGACCAGAUUAGAUCUAGAGAACCAACUGUGGCGGCUUUGCAGUGAUCUGCAACUAAAAAUUAGGGGAUACUGUUAUCAAUUCUAUCGAACACUGCGCGAUGAUGCUGUUCGGUACCUCAAGAAAUCAAAUUCAGAUAAAGCCUCAAUAAUUCAUAAAAUUCAACAUAUGUGAGUAUCGAGUGGGAGUGUGAGAGUGAGACAGAACUUAUUCAUUAAUUUUCAUGCUCAUUGACUUGGUCUAGAAAAUGUGAUAAAAUGCAGGCGGGUAAAGAGGAGGACUAUGCUUAGUGAAACCAAUUUGGGAGACGAUCCUGAUGAAGUAUUCGCCUGAACUGGUGCUGUUUAAAAACCUUCAAAUAUCAGAAACAUUAUCAAAUAUAUGUUUAAAUAUGCACAAUUGUACAAGCAUUUUUUGUACUCAAUUCGUUCUAACUUUUAAAGUUGUUUGAAUAAAAUUUAAUUUUUGCUGGUGGUA
rnacentral:lncRNA from 1 species